rnacentral:lncRNA from 1 species
CUCGUCGCCCUCGUUGCCGUGGCAGCCGCCGCCCCUCAGCAGCAGCCGCCCGUUGCCAUCCUCCUGGACGAACGCGUUUCUCCCGAGAACGGCGCUUACUCCUUCCAGUUCCAGGCGGAGAACGGCAUCGUGCAGAGUGAGACUGGAACACAAGGUUCUCAAGGCCAGACAAAUGUGCAAGGAGUUUUCAGUUUCCCCCUGGAAGACGGCAGCAUCGCCGAAGUCCGGUACCAAGCUGACGAGAACGGCUUCCAGGCCCAGUCCCCUCUGCUGCCCGUCGCCCCCGAGUUCCCUCACCCCAUCCCGCAGUUCGUCCUCGACCAGAUCGCCUUCGCCGAGGAGCAGGAUCGCCUCGAAGCUCAGCUUCAGUUCCAGUGAACACUAAAUGCCACCUUCAGAAUUCUGGAGAUGAUGUGUUAAUUUGUAUAGUGUGUAAUAAAAACGUGUAAAAAGGA